UUACUCUUGCAUUAUGUUAGAUAUUAACAUAUACAGCUAAACCUGGGUAAGUGACAACUGGAUAAGUGAGAAAACUGUAUAAGUGAGAGUAAUAGCUAGGACCCGUCAUUUUAAGCGCCCAAAACUUCUAUUAGCGAGAAACAGAAACCUCUGUUAGAGAGAGUCGUUUUUCUCUCAUGGACCUCUGUGAGCGAGACUGCUUCUUUUCUAUACCUCUAUAAGCGACAGUCGAGGUUUAUUUUUUAUUUACAUAC